AGCUUUGUGCAGCGGCAGUAUCGUAGCCAAUGAGGUUUAUCAGAGGCGCAAUUAUUGCUAAUUGAAAAAUCUUCCCAAUACCUUGAGGUGACGACUUGCAAUAUAGUCGGCAUUGGCAAUUUUUGACAGUCUCUACAGAGA
ensembl:snRNA U4 U4 spliceosomal RNA